rnacentral:rRNA from 1 species
UACGUAGGGUGCAAGCGUUAAUCGGAAUUACUGGGCGUAAAGCGUGCGCAGGCGGUGAUGUAAGACAGUUGUGAAAUCCCCGGGCUCAACCUGGGAACUGCAUCUGUGACUGCAUUGCUGGAGUGCGGCAGAGGGGGAUGGAAUUCCGCGUGUAGCAGUGAAAUGCGUAGAUAUGCGGAGGAACACCGAUGGCGAAGGCAAUCCCCUGGGCCUGCACUGACGCUCAUGCACGAAAGCGUGGGGAGCAAACAGG